UUUCUCUUCGUUAACACAGGCGUUCUAUCGCCGUGCCCGUGACUCUUGGGAUCUCAAACCCCGACCAACGCCUCUGUAACGUCUUCAGAUUUUGGCUAGAAGAUACAUUUAUCCAAGCAUUAACAACGUCCCAUCCACUCCUCCUACUCUUUCACAUUAACUCGGCAUUAUCAUCCGCCAAGCUAAACCGUUCAAAGUACCUACUAUACAAAUGUUCCUUCUUGGACAGACGCACUGCAACAAAAUCCCAAAGGUCAAUCACUAUUAAGCAACAAUUCUAUCAAUGCCGAAUCCUUACACUCUUCAUGCCGAUUUGAAGGUUGAUUGCUGCUCAAUCACCGCCGAGGUCCGCCUUCUCGGAAGAUCCCUGAGGAAGCUAGAGAGCUUGAAAAACAACUCAGACAGACUUUGAGAAGGUACCGUGUGGAGUUGACCAUUUCAGAUGAAACCGAGGAGGCUGUCUUCCGUAGCUUUUGAUUCUGAGAUGAUCAAGCUGACUAACGUCCGCUCAUCCGAAGUUGGGCAGGGUGGAGGUUUUUCUUAGCAGUAGGAUAACAUGUUCAGGGUGGAGGUUUUUCUUAGCAGCAGGAUAACGAAUUCCCACCUUUAAUCACUGAGAUAAUCGGGAAUGCUUACACUUUUCAGCUGAAGUUGUAUGGGUUUAAUUUUACAUCAAAGCAUGAGACCUUAGCGUCAACAGGCCCCAAAUCCUGAUUUUGGUGUUUAUGUAAAUUUUUCGUAAUUGGAAUAUACACUAAUGCGCUGACUGGUUAAGCGUUUCCAAAUCUCUUUAGCAGGGAGGAGGUGAUGGGCCCAAAGACAAUAUGCAUGGAGUCAGCUCACUUUCCUCAGCUUCUGCAAAUCUAGGUAACAACAAUGCGAAGGAGACACCGAGACUUACAGACUCUGCACUGGGGAACCUCCCUGAAGUGGAUGGCUUCAUAUCCCAGAAUCCAAAGCUCAAAUUGAGCAUGCUGCUAAGAAGGUUUAUUUUAUCAUGUUGCUGUCGUUUUUUUUAAUCUAAUAAUGCUUUACGUUAUUCCAUUUUCAAACUAUUGCGUAUGUUGGUUUAGUUCUUUGCACUACCAAUAUAAGAUUUUUUUUUUUGAUCAAGCACUACUAAUAUAAGAAUAUUUCGAAGUAUUUAUCCUUUAAGACAACCCACCACGGGCA